rnacentral:rRNA from 1 species
AACUAACGCUGGCGGCGUGCCUAACACAUGCAAGUCGUACGAGAAAGCCGGCUUCGGCGGGUGAGUAAAGUGGCGCACGGGUGAGUAACGCGUGGAUAAUCUGGCCUUAAGUGGGGAAUAACUUAGCGAAAUGUGCGCUGAUACCGCGUAAUGCCUGGCAACACAAUGUAUCCGGCCAAAGAAUGCAUCUGUGUAUACGCUUCCGCUUCAGGAUGAGUCCGCGUACCAUUAGCUUGUUGGUGGGGUAAUGGCCUACCAAGGCUGCGAUGGUUAGCUGGUCUGAGAGGAUGACCAGCAACACUGGAACUGAGACACGGUCCAGACUCCUACGGGAGGCAGCAGUGAGGAAUAUUGCGCAAUGGGGGCAAACCUGACGCAGCAAAGCCGCGUGAGUGAGGAAGGUUUUCGGACCGUAAAGCUCUGUCGAGUGGGAAGAAGUGUAUCAUGGCUAAUAUCCGUGAUAUUUGACGGUACCGCUAGAGGAAGCACCGGCUAACUCCGUGCCAGCCGCCGCGGUAAGAC